rnacentral:rRNA from 1 species
UACAGAGGGGCAAGCGUUGUUCGGAAUUACUGGGCGUAAAGGGCGCGUAGGCGGCCUGUUAAGUCAGACGUGAAAUCCCUCGGCUCAACCGGGGAACUGCGUCUGAUACUGGCGGGCUUGAAUUCGGGAGAGGGAUGUGGAAUUCCAGGUGUAGCGGUGAAAUGCGUAGAUAUCUGGAGGAACACCGGUGGCGAAGGCGGCAUCCUGGACCGACAUUGACGCUGAGGCGCGAAAGCCAGGGGAGCAAACGGG